rnacentral:rRNA from 1 species
AAUCAACGCUGGCGGCGUGCCUCAGACAUGCAAGUCGAACGAUUAAAGCUCCCUUCGGGGAGUGCAUAAAGUGGCGCACGGGUGAGUAACACGUAAGUAAUCUGCCUUCGAGUGGGGAAUAACCCGGGGAAACCCGGGCUAAUACCGCAUAAUGCAGCGGCACCUAAUGGUGACAGUUGUUAAAGGAGCAAUCCGCUUGAAGAGGAGCUUGCGGCAGAUUAGCUUGUUGGUAAGGUAACGGCUUACCAUGGCUACGAUCUGUAUCCGGUCUAAGAGGGCGGUCGGACACACUGACACUGAAUAACGGGUCAGACUCCUACGGGAGGCAGCAGUCGGGAAUUUUGGGCAAUGGGGGAAACCCUGACCCAGCAACGCCGCGUGAAGGAUGAAGUAUUUCGGUAUGUAAACUUCGAAAGAAUAGGAAGAAUUAAUGACGGUACUAUUUAUAAGGUCCGGCUAACUACGUGCCAGCCGCCGCCGUAACAC